rnacentral:rRNA from 1 species
GUGGGGAAUAUUGGGCAAUGGGGGAAACCCUGACCCAGCAACGCCGCGUGAAGGAAGAAGGUUUUCGGAUCGUAAACUUCUAUCCUUGGUGAAGAUAAUGACGGUAGCCAAGAAGGAAGCCCCGGCUAACUACGUGCCAGCAGCCGCGGUAAUACGUAGGGGGCAAGCGUUGUCCGGAAUGAUUGGGCGUAAAGGGCGCGUAGGCGGCCUGGUAAGUCUGGAGUGAAAGUCCUGCUUUUAAGGUGGGAAUUGCUUUGGAUACUGUCGGGCGUGAGUGCAGGAGAGGUAAGCGGAAUUCCCGGUGUAGCGGUGAAAUGCAUAGAGAUCGGGAGGAACACCAGUGGCGAAGGCGACUUACUGGACUGUAACUGACGCUGAGGCGCGAAAGUGUGGGGAGCAAACAGGAUUAGAUACCCGGGUAGUCC